AUUGAACGCUGGCGGCAUGCCUUACACAUGCAAGUCGAACGGCAGCACGGGAGCAAUCCUGGUGGCGAGUGGCGAACGGGUGAGUAAUAUAUCGGAACGUGCCCGGUCGUGGGGAUAACGUAGCGAAAGCUACGCUAAUACCGCAUACGAUCUACGGAUGAAAGCGGGGGAUCGCAAGACCUCGCGCGAUUGGAGCGGCCGAUAUCAGAUUAGGUAGUUGGUGAGGUAAAGGCUCACCAAGCCGACGAUCUGUAGCUGGUCUGAGAGGACGACCAGCCACACUGGGACUGAGACACGGCCAGACUCCUACGGGAGGCAGCAGUGGGAAUUUUGGACAAUGGGCGCGAAGCCUGAUCCAGCAAUGCCGCGUGCAGGAUGAAGGCCUCGG
rnacentral:rRNA from 1 species